CCACCAAUCCCUGAGGUCCCUGAGCACACAAUCCCACCAAUCCCUGAGCUUGCCCUGGAGUCAGGCUACAAAACUCCACCAAUCCCAAACCAACCUGGAAAGCGCUGACCCCAAGAAACCCUAUAUAAGGCUCCUCUAAAGAUGCCAUCACCCCAAGACAGCAGGAAGUAAUCUUAAGAACAUGAAGCCCACAUUCCCAAGAGAGGCCUAGCUGAGACCAAGAAGACAUGCUAUUAUUCAGUAUACUGGGAGAACUCUCCUCCAGACGAUACACCGUGACAGGCUCACCUGCAAGAUGAACAGACACAGUUUGAGAUUAAAGUAUAACAACAAAUUAAAAUAAAUAUUUGUUUGUGGUAUCACAGAUGACUCUACAGUGAUUUGAAUAUGCAACCAAGAUUGCAAAUUAACGAGCAAGAGCAUAAGCGUACCUGAAGGAGGUGAAGCUACAGAAGCAGGCAAUAUCAAAUUGUGAAGAGCCUAAUAUGUCAUGCAAAGAAAGGACACUGCAUUUUACUGAAUGACAAUGGGAAAAAUGUAAAGCAGAGGAGUGGCAAGAUCAAAUCUUUCAGAAUUAUUUUGGUGGUAGAAGAUAGACUAGCAGUUAACUACAGGCAGGAAGUCAGCCUGGAAUAACUACUCUGAAAACCUAUCUGGCAGGCAGUAACUACUGAAUAUGAACAUAUGCAUAAGCUAUGACCCAGCAAUUCUACCCAUAGGCAUAUAACCAAUGGAAAGCAAAUUUAUGUUUACCAAACAUGAAAAAGAAUGCUCACAGCAACAGAAAGCAUAAUGGUUACACAUUGGAAGCUACUGAAAUGCCCAUCAAAUAGAAUGGAUAAAUUCAAUAUAUUCCAACAAGAAAAUACUAUGAAAUCCUAUUAAUGCACAAACUACACUAAUACAGUAAUACUGAUGAAUCUCUGUAUAACAAUUACAUCUCUAUGACUCUAUUUAUAUUGUACCAUAAAGUAAGCCACCGUGUUAGGAUGGAGGCCACAGCAAGAGCCUGGCAUAUUAGCAAUAUUCUGGUUUUGGGUGCUGGUUAAGUGGGGAGUGGUGACAGAAAAGUGGCCAUCAUAAUUCACAGGGUGGGUCAUGUGUUUGUAAAACAUCUAUACUAAAGAUGAGGGAAGAGUUUUCCAACUACCUUGGCUUUUUAAUAUUUGAAGUCUAAAAUGUCUUGCCUAUGAUAAUGUGGUAAAUGGUUUAAUUAUGACCUUUAAUUUUUCAUACUAAAUCUACUACACAGACUCACCAUUUAAUGUUCCUCCUUCAGAUGGCCUAAGGAAAUAAAAAAAUAAUAUAAGCUGUGCAACAACCUUA